rnacentral:lncRNA from 1 species
GGAAGUGGCGCAGGAUCCAGGCUCCGACGAAGGGAGAGGCCGUCUUAGGGAAGAUUAAGCAUGGAGACAGUCACACAACACUGCCAUCUUUUACCCAAAUAAAUAGUCAUCACUUUACAGUCUUGUGCCAAAGCAUUAUCCAUUAGCCAGACCGCCUGAGAAAGGCAAAAGACUCCUGACAUCUGGAAAUCUUGCAGGCUUUCAAGGCUGCCUAUCUGCUUAUAAAACAAGGACGUGUCCGUUAUAGCUUUAAGUCUGCACUCUAUGUCUAGCUCCUAAAACUAGAGUCUGCCAGGUUCCACGCUGAUGAUGCUCAUCUUCCUGGGUACAGAACAAAGACAAGAUAAGGUCAACCAUUCUUCUGCCACCUGCCAUCCUACAAGCCUUCUCCCUGUAAGGAAAUAUGUAAAUUCUAAACCUCCUG